rnacentral:tRNA from 1 species
GGAGGCAUAGUUCAGUGGUAGAGUGCAUGCUUAGCAUGCAUGAGGUCCUGGGUUCAAUCCCCAGCACCUCCA